CUUAACAUGCAAGUCGAACGAUGAACCACUUCGGUGGGGAUUAGUGGCGAACGGGUGAGUAACACGUGGGCAAUCUGCCCUGCACUCUGGGACAAGCCCUGGAAACGGGGUCUAAUACCGGAUACUGACCCGCCUGGGCAUCCAGGCGGUUCGAAAGCUCCGGCGGUGCAGGAUGAGCCCGCGGCCUAUCAGCUUGUUGGUGAGGUAACGGCUCACCAAGGCGACGACGGGUAGCCGGCCUGAGAGGGCGACCGGCCACACUGGGACUGAGACACGGCCCAGACUCCUACGGGAGGCAGCAGA
rnacentral:rRNA from 1 species